rnacentral:rRNA from 1 species
UAAUCUCGGGAAACUGAGGAUAAUUCUCCAUAGACCAUGAGAUCUGGAAUGACUUAUGGUUCAAAGUUCCGGCGCUUUAGGAUCGGUCUGCGGCCUAUCAGGUAGUAGUGGGUGUAACGUACCCCCUAGCCAAUUACGGGUAUGGGCCUUGAGAGAGGGAGCCCAGAGUUGGAUUCUGAGACACGAAUCCAGGCCCUACGGGGCGCAGCAGUCGCGAAAACUUCACAAUGGGCGAAAGCCCGAUGAGGGAAUUCCUAGUGCUAGCACAUUUGUGUUAGCUUUUCCUUAGCGUAGAUAACUAGGGGAAUAAGGGCUGGGUAAGACGGGUGCCAGCCGCCGCGGUAAUACCCGCAGCCCGAGUGGUGGUCGAUUUUAUUGAGUCUAAAACGUUCGUAGCCGGUCUGAUAAAUCCCUGGGUAAAUCGGGUGGCUUAACCAUCCGAAUUCCGGGGAGACUGUCAGGCUUGGGAUCGGGAG